AUUGAACGCUGGUGGCAGGCUUUACACAUGCAAGUCGAACGGCAACACGAACUUCCUCGUUACUUCGCUUACCAGUGGCGUAAGGGAUACAUAUGAUUGGGCACCUGGCUUAUGGAUGGCGCUACCUACGCGGAAUUGUAGCUACUACCGCGUUAAAUCUUCGGACUAAAGGGCGGGACUUCCGACCCACUUGCCACAAGAUGAGCCCAAGUGGGAUUAGGUAGUUGGUUAGGUAAAGGCUGACCAAGCCGACGAUCUCUAGCUGGUCUGAGAGGAUGACCAGCCACACUGGAACUGAGACACGGUCCAGACUCCUACGGGAGGCAGCAGUGGGGAAUAUUGCACAAUGGGGGGAGCCCUGAUGCAGCCAUGCCGCGUGAAUGAAGAAGGCCUUCGGGUUGUAAAGUGCUUUCGGUGACGAGGAAGGUUGAUAGGUUAAUAGCCUAUCAAAUUGACGUUAAUCACAGAAGAAGCACCGGCUAACUCCGUG
rnacentral:rRNA from 1 species